AAUGGGGGUGGGACAAGCUGCUGGAACACUUUGUCUAUUUGCUGGCGUUCUGAAGUCAAAGUAGGAGACCCAACCGUGCAGAACUCCAUAUGCUGAACUAGAAUCAGGAACGGUUGAAGUGCAUGAAGUACUGGGCUUAAACCAUUCAAAUAAAGGUGUCUUGCAUGUAGACUGUAAGCUCUUUGAGGCAGAGAACAGACCUAUUUGUAUCUCUGUAAAAUCCAAAUCCAGCAGAAACCAUUGCAUUGACUACAAUGUGGAACAGACCCUAAAGCAGCAUGCAAAAUUUUGGUGCUCUAUAAAUACUGAUUAAAAUCUCAGCCUGCCAGGCCUUCUUGAAAACAGGUGUUUAUAUAAACAUCUAAAUAAGUGCAUCUAUAAAAUACUUCCU